GCCAGUCUCAAUUUAGGAAAUUACUUCUCUCUCUCCCUUCUCUUUCUCCGCCGAUCUCACCAUCGUCAUUCUCUCUCUCUCUCUCUCUCUCACACACACACACACAGAAACACACACAAAGAGAGGAGAGCAAAGGAAUGGCGUGAUUCAAAGCCACUGCCUUCACCAAUCGAGCACCGGCAGUACCACCAUCCGGCCUCGAACUCGUCAUCUCCAAGCCCCAUCGCUUGUCUGACCUCGACCACAACUCAGUAAGUCGAAUAAUUGCACUCUCAAUGUUUAUUCUUGAUUUACUUUGGAGUUUUGAUUCAGGGAUCUAUUUUAGGGUUUUCAAUUUCGGUUCUCGAUUUUGGGGUUUUGUUUUGGGAUUUCAAUUUUGAGGGUUUCGACUCCAGGUUUAGUUUGGGGCUGCUCUACUUUGAACUUUGUUGAUAUGCUCUAGGUUUGAACUUUUUAUGGGCUUAAUAUUUGAGUUUGAAAUCACAUGUAACACAAAUCUGCUCGCCACCUGUUCAACUUUUUUUCCCAAUUAGUUUCAGUCUGUGGAACAAUGGUGUGGAUGGUGUUUAAAAGGGAUGGUUAUGCAAACGGUAGAGGAGGAAAAAAAUGAAAUGGGUGUGGUGAAUUUAUAUGUGGGUAAUCUCAAAUGGAUGUUGUUUGGCUAGGCCAAAUAUUCAACCACCACGAACAAGUGGUUAUUGAUGUUGCCCUAAGAUCAGCAUUCUCCUGUGUGUAUGUCUAUUGGUGCGCGGUCGAAAAUUUAACCCAAUUGGUUACUGUAGAUGAUUAGUGAUUCCAAUUCCUUGAGAUGUUUAUUCUUCUUAUUGGGGGAGUGUGUGUGUGUUUAUUUGUCACCUUCUGUUGAGUUCUUUAUUUGUGUACAAACUAUGGAUGUGAAGAUGCUGGAGGACGUGAAGCACUUGACAAAGCUUUUGCAAAAUUUUCGUUGCUGAAUCAGCAAUAGUUUGUUUGCAGGGACUCUCAUGGAUUGGGUUCCUUGCAAGAUUUUGGAGUGAAGUACCGAGAAGUGCCCCUUGCAGAGGAUAGCAGGCUUGAUUGAAAUGUGCUUGAGGGUGCAGUGACAGCUUGCAGAAGAUGCCAGGCUUAACUUGAAUUUUGCUCUCCCCUAUCGAGGUAU